GACAUAACUGAAGCAUUUCCAUAGAGAGCCACUUUGCAUCAGCAGCACCAUGCUCCAGUGCUCUGGGAGAGUUUAUAGUCCUGAGAGUUGAACACUGGAUGACUGACAGCUGUCCUUCAUGACAACAGAAGACACAGAAAUCCUCCUCAUCAAAAACAUGACUUUGACCUGCGUCCUCAUCUGGACUCUCCUCUGCUGCUGCUUCACAGAGUCCAGAGGUCAGAUCACAGUGACUCAGCCUGCAGCAGUGAGCUCUGCUCUGGGAGGCUCCGUCACCAUCAGCUGUAGGACCAGUCACAGGGUAGAUGAUGGAGAGGAUCUAUCGUGGUACCAACAGCGAGAUGGAGAAACUCCAAAACUUCUCAUUUACACAACUAGCAAUAGAGCAUCAGGGAUUCCAGAUCGUUUCACAGGUAGUGGAUCAAACUCUGCCUUCACUCUGAGCAUCACUGGAAUUCAGGCUGAAGAUGCAGCAGUUUACUACUGUAUGGGGGAAUUCUAUGUCAACAGUCAGUGGGUGUUCACACAGUGAAAAACCAUCGUACAAAAACCUCCCUCAGUCAGACUGAAC